CCGGCAGCAGGAGGAGGAGGAGGAGGAGGAGGAGGAAGAAGAGGAGGAGGAGACGGCCUUCUUCCCUCCCGCCGCCCAGCGCGGAGGCAGGUUGAGCCGCGGCGAGGCUGGGAGGCCGGCGGCGGAGGCUCGGCGGAGUCCCGGGAGCCGAGGAGGGCUCGGAGCAGCGAGCGGCUCGGCGGCGGGGCAGGUGGCGGCAGCCGAGCGGCGCUCCAGGACUGAGAGCGGAGGCCGGGAGGAGGAGCCCGGCCUCGGCGCCUCCCCGAGCCGGCCCCCCCGGGGAGGAGAGGGGUGGGUUCGGCUCCCAGACCCCCCAGGCCGGGCGGGGAGGUGCUGCCGAGCUGUCAUCCACAAGGACCAGAAUGAAGAGCAGGGAAAGGCUGAGCCAGAGAUAACAGAAGGAAAGCACAAGGUCUUUGUGGCCCUAAGUCCUGAGAAGAAGAUGAGUACUACCAUUACCCUUGUUGAACAUUAAUGGGAAAGUGUGGGUGGAAAUGUGACUCUUGGUGUGAUUUGGAUGGUUGAGGCUGUUCACGGACGAAGGUCUGUAGGAAUUGGCUCCUGUUUUUUUCAGAGGAAUACCAUCUUCCUCAUGCAGAGCAGCUGCUGUUGCUGACGACUCCUACUGUUUGAACACAUGGAACAAAGCUGCAGUGGGUACCCAUGAACGUAUAUGUGUGUUUAUAAGGGAAAGCACAGAUUGGAACUCAUUUUGGAAAUUCCUUCCCCUUCUGAUCAACAGUACAUUAACUAAAGAGCUAAACCACUCUUUAACAAGUUGGAAAAAUGAAUGAUUCAGUUACAGCUGGUAGGAGGCUGAAUAUAAAAACAGAAUAGUGAGAUGUACACUUACAUAGUAGUCUUAGUUACUCUUAGUUCUUGUUCUUGUUUUUGGCCUUUUCAGUUAUUAGCUUUAGAACUCAUUUAUUUUAUUAAAGUAAAUUUGAAUAGAAUCUAUCACUUAACAUAAAGCUUUUCCAUUAGGAUAAUCUUCGCAUAAGUGCAGUCCAGGGCUAAUUUAUUUUGGUUAUUCAAAAGUACUCCAAUGGCAUGUUCAAGAGGUGACCCUUGUCCUAACACUCUUGUGGAGAAUAUGCAAACUGAUCUUAAUGAACAGAUUAUUGUAGAGUUUAAUAUGAAUUUGAGAGUUUUAGUUGUCAUUAAUUUAUCUAUAUCAAAACUUGCCUGGAUCAUCAAAAGGGAACAGUAUUUUUCCAUAAAUUACUGCUGACCUGAGGAAUUAUUUAUGCACCUACUUAAGUACAUUCUGUUUGUAUCAAAAAUGAAAGAACCAUCUUUAUAGCUGAUUCAAAGAAUAGAGUUUUUGGAAGAAUAUGUCUUCAUUACCCUUUAGCCUAGAUACAGCUAACAUAUGCUGCAAGAAAUAUUCAUGAAAUUCUAUAAAUGUGUGGUGAGUUAACCUGUUCUGAGCUCCUAUUGUUAUAUUGCUCUCAAAGCCCUAACUAGAACCAGCCGUUUCUGCUGUAGACACACACUGCGUAACAGCAUUGCUUUUCUUUUACCAUAUUGCUAUUUGGUGGCUGGCUCCCAUUUCCAUCCUCAGUGCUUCCAAUUUCUGGUAGUCCAAAUGGUGUUCACAUACUUUAAAGAGAUGUCCUUUUGGCAGUACUAUCUGCAUGCCACAAGCAAGUUCUCAUGGACAUUUUUUGUUGCAUGGGUUACUUGGCAUGCUUCUGGUACUCCAGAAAUAAUGGCUGUAUUUUGCUGGUUUUAAACCAAGUAAAAUUCCUGUUUUGUAAUGACAAGAUAAUAGGUUAAAUAAGGUUGGAAAAAAAAAAAAAAAGUAUUCGUUUCAGAACCAUUUCUAUCUUCACUUUUUUUUUUUUUCCAAUUAUCCACCAUCAAUUUGGAAAAAAAUAAAAAUAAAAAGGUGAAUACUAUAAACA
rnacentral:lncRNA from 1 species